rnacentral:rRNA from 1 species
AACUAUCCUGCCAUUCAUUUGGUGUGGUAAGGAAUCAGGACUGUUCUUUGAAAAAAUUAUAUCGUUUAAAGCAGGCUCCUCUUGAAUACAUUAUCUUGGAAUAAUGAAAUACGGACAUUGAUCUUAUUUUGUUGGUUUCUCGGAGUGACGUAAUGAUUAAUAGGGAUAGUUGGGGGCAUUAGUAUUCAAUUGUCAAAGGUGAAAUUCUUGGAUUUAUUGAAGACUACCUACUGCGAAAGCAUUUGCCAUGGAUGUUUUCAUUAAUCUUUAACGAAAGUUAUGGGAUCGAACACUAUCACAUACCGUCGUAGUCUUAACCAUUAACUAUGCCGACUAGGGAUCGGAUGAUGUUAAUUUUUUAAUGACUCA